AAUUAAUAGAAUUAUUAAAAAAGUAUGUUUUGUAAUUUUAAAUUAAGAAAUUAAAUUUUAUUAUUAUUAAGAAAAAAUAUUUUUAAUUAUAGUUYAUUAGUAUUGUAAAAGAAAUUAUUUAAAUAAUAAAAAGAAAAAUUAAUUUUUUGUACCUUGUGUAUCAGGGUUUAUURAAUAURAAUWAAAWUUUUAAUAUUCUYGAAUUURAAAGAGCUAAAUUAAUAAAUUUUUUAUUGUAGAAUAAAUAAAUAUAAUAUUAUUAUAGCAAUGAAACGUUAUUCGUUUUUAAAUAUAUCUAGUUUUUUAAGAAAAAAUUAAUUUUUUUAUAAAAUUAAUUUAAUUAAUUAUUUAAUUAAAUUUAGUUUAUAAUUAAUAUUUUUAGGGAUAAGCUUAAAGAUAAAUUUUUAUAAAUUUAUAUAAUUAUAUAAAUUAUAGGAUUAGAAUUUUUCAUUAUAAAAAAAUGUUAUAAUUAAUUAUAUUAUAAGUUAUUAUUUUUAUAAAUUUUAAAUAUUUUAUUAAAAAUAUUAAUAGUAAUUUUUACUAUUAAGUAAUAAUGAUAAAAUUAGUAUAAUAGGUAUUGUAUAAUUAGUUAUAUAAUUAUAGGUUAAAUAAAGGAAUUCGGCAAAAGUAUUUUUCACCUGUUUAUUAAAAACAUGGCCUUUACGAUGAUAAUUAUAGGUCUAACCUGCCCAGUGAGGAUUUUAAAUGGCCGCGGUAAUUUGACCGUGCAAAGGUAGCAUAAUCAUUAGUUUCUUAAUUGAAAGCUGGAAUGAAGGGUUGAAUGAAAAAAUAGCUGUCUCUAUUUAAUUUAAUUACCAUUUUAUUUUUAAGUUAAAAAGCUUAAAUAAUUUUAAAAGACGAGAAGACCCUAUAGAGUUUUAUAUAAUUUUUAAUAGAAUUUAUUUUAAUUAUAAAAAUAUUAUUAUAAAUUAUAUUUAGUUGGGGUGAUUAAAAAUUUAAUAAACUUUUUUUUAUUUAACAUUUUUUUAUGAAUAAUUGAUCCAUUAUUAAUGAUUAAAAGAUUAAAUUAACCUUAGGGUUAACAGCAAUUUCUUUUUAGAGUUCUAAUCGAUAAAGAAGUUUGCGACCUCGAUGUUGGAUUAAAAUAUAGUUUUGGUGUAGAAGCUGAAAUAUUGGGUCUGUUCGACCUUUAAAAUUUUUACAUGAUCUGAGUUUAAACCGGUGUGAGCCAGGUUGGUUUCUAUCUUCAUUUAAUAUCCAGUUAGUACGAGAGGACCAUUGGAUUUAUAAAUUAUGUUAUUGUGAAUACUA
rnacentral:rRNA from 1 species